UUUUCACACGUAAACAAAACUUUUUUUAAGACAAAAAAAAUAAUUUUAAUAAUAUCUUUGCUAGUUUCCGCUUUAAAAAUACUUUUUUUUCCUGCUAUACAUAUUGAACUAGCAAAUACAGUCAAAAUUGAACAGAAAUUCUGCUAUAAUCUGACAUGAUGUAGUUCUUUCUAUCUGGUAAUGCGGCUGAGAUGAUGGACUCUUAAUAUUCUUGGAAUUUGUUUUGUUGGAGUUUCGUUCAGUGCUCUCACGUAUAAUUUAAAGAACAACAAUCUCGUGCCACGUAAAAUCGUAUGCGAAACUCAAAACAUCAAAUUUUUUCAAACGAUCAUCGUUUCAUCUCGAUGUAAAAGUUUGAUUUAUUUGUUGUGUUGUUGAUUCUCGCCACAGAGUUUUGUCGUUUUGAAUUGAAUGUCAUGAUAGAUAAAAUCUACGAACGUUCUCAGAAGAGUUUUAAGUUUGUUUGAGAACUGAAUCCAAAACUUUUUUGUUGUAAAUUUAAAAAAAAUGGAUUACGAAAGUAAUUUGACGCAUUAGAGUGGGUUGUGACCCAGAAGAAGAGUUUGUGUGAACAUUUUCUUAAAAGGAACUAAACAACGAGACAGGAGAUACCGCUUUUAAAAAAUUUUUCCGGUUUUUGGAUCCGUUUAUAAGUUGUGUUAAACUUGUUAUUACAAAAAAAAAAUGGAGAUCCGAUAUGCUGUUUAGAAGGAAAGCAAGAGAUAUAAAUCAAUGUGGCACGAUAAUUUAUAUUUGAAAGGGAUCAUUCGCAUAAGAUCAUCAUAAAAUACAUCAUGUGCAAAAUCUUCUAUUAAAAAAGAAUUAAUAUAUUUUAUUCAAAUAUUUUAUUAAUUA